GAUGAACGCUAGCGGCAGGCUUAACACAUGCAAGUCGAGGGGCAGCACGAUGUAGCAAUACAUUGGUGGCGACCGGCGCACGGGUGCGUAACACGUAUGGAAUCUGCCUUGUACUGGGAGAUAGCCCGGAGAAAUCCGGAUUAAUAUCCCAUAAUAGCUUGGGUGGCAUCACUCGGGUUUGAAAGCUCCGGCGGUACAAGAUGACCAUGCGCACGAUUAGCUAGUUGGUGAGGUAACGGCUCACCAAGGCUACGAUCGUUAGGGGGCCUGAGAGGGUUAUCCCCCACACUGGUACUGAGACACGGACCAGACUCCUACGGGAGGCAGCAGUGAGGAAUAUUGCGCAAUGGAGGCAACUCUGACGCAGCCAUGCCGCGUGCAGGAAGAAGGCGCUACGCGUUGUAAACUGCUUUUAACCGGGAAGAAACCCCAGGACGUGUCCUGGGUUGACGGUACCGGAGGAAUAAGCACCGGCUAACUUCGUG
rnacentral:rRNA from 1 species